AUUGAACGCUGGCGGAAUGCUUUACACAUGCAAGUCGAGCGGCCGCGCGGGGCAACCUGGCGGCGAGCGGCGAACGGGUGAGUAAUGUAUCGGAACGUGUCCUGUCGUUGGGGAUAGCCCGGUGAAAACCGGAUUAAUACCGCAUACGAGCGAGAGAUGAAAGUGGGGGACCGCAAGGGCGCACGCGAUAGGAGCGGCCGAUAUCUGAUCAGCUAGUUGGUGGGGUAAAGGCCCACCAAGGCUUCGAUCAGUAGCUGGUCUGAGAGGAUGAUCAGCCACACUGGGACUGAGACACGGCCCAGACUCCUACGGGAGGCAGCAGUGGGGAAUUUUGGACAAUGGGGGCAACCCUGAUCCAGCCAUUCCGCGUGAGUGAAGAAGGCCUUCGGGUUGUAAAGCUCUUUUGUCCGGGAAGAAACGGUUUCACCUAAUACGUGAGACUACUGACGGUACCGGAAGAAUAAGGACCGGCUAACUACGUGCCAGCAGCCGCCGUAAAAC
rnacentral:rRNA from 1 species